AAGGCGACUAGGGAAUGGAGGACCUAUGUCUAAAAUCUCAACUCAUGGAUUGGAGCCCUAAUAUUGGAAAAGGUGACUAAGGAAUGGAGGUCCUAUGUCUAAAAUUUCAACUCAGGGAUUGGAGCCCUAAUAUUGGUAAAGGUGACUAAGGAAUGGAGGCCCUAUGUCUAAAAUUUCAACUCACGAAUUGGAGCCCUAAUGUUGGCUAAAGGCGACUAGGGAAUGGAGGCCCUAUGUCUAAAAUCUCAACUCAGGGAUUGGAGCCCUAAUGUUGGCAAAAGGCGACUAGGGAAUGGAGGCUCUAUGUAUAAAAUCUCAACUCAGGGAUUGGAGCCCUAAUGUUGGCGAAAAAUAGGUUGAUAUUGGGGAUUCUAAACUAACCCUUUUUUUGGAAUUUUCUUCUUAUUUCUCUUUUCGUUUCUUUUUUUUAUUAUUUUUUUUGUUUAGUAAAAAUGCAGGAAUGAAUUUGGAGGAAACUUCCCUUUUGGGUCGAUUCCUUGCU
rnacentral:lncRNA from 1 species